UCAUUUUUGUGAUUGGUGCAAUUUAGUUAACCAAAUUGCAUAGUCACAAAAGUGAUG
rnacentral:pre_miRNA from 1 species